rnacentral:rRNA from 1 species
UUAAGUUAGAAAGGGCGCACGGUGGAUGCCUUGACACUAGGAGUCGAUGAAGGACGGGACUAACGCCGAUAUGCUUCGGGGAGCUGUAAGUAAGCUUUGAUCCGAAGAUUUCCGAAUGGGGAAACCCACCAUACGUAAUGGUAUGGUAUCCUUAUCUGAAUACAUAGGGUAAGGAAGACAGACCCAGGGAACUGAAACAUCUAAGUACCUGGAGGAAGAGAAAGCAAAUGCGAUUUCCUGAGUAGCGGCGAGCGAAACGGAACAUAGCCCAAACCAAGAGGCUUGCCUCUUGGGGUUGUAGGACAUUCUAUACGGAGUUACAAAGGAACGAGGUAGACGAAGCGACCUGGAAAGGUCCGUCGUAGAGGGUAACAACCCCGUAGUCGAAACUUCGUUCUCUCUUGAAUGUAUCCUGAGUACGGCGGAACACGUGAAAUUCCGUCGGAAUCUGGGAGGACCAUCUCCCAAGGCUAAAUACUCCCUAGUGAUCGAUAGUGAACCAGUACCGUGAGGGAAAGGUGAAAAGCACCCCGGAAGGGGAGUGAAAGAGAUCCUGAAACCGUGUGCCUACAAAUAGUCAGAGCCCGUUAACGGGUGAUGGCGUGCCUUUUGUAGAAUGAACCGGCGAGUUACGAUCCCGUGCGAGGUUAAGCUGAAGAGGCGGAGCCGCAGCGAAAGCGAGUCUGAAUAGGGCGUUUAGUACGUGGUCGUAGACCCGAAACCAGGUGAUCUACCCAUGUCCAGGGUGAAGUUCAGGUAACACUGAAUGGAGGCCCGAACCCACGCACGUUGAAAAGUGCGGGGAUGAGGUGUGGGUAGCGGAGAAAUUCCAAUCGAACCUGGAGAUAGCUGGUUCUCCCCGAAAUAGCUUUAGGGCUAGCCUUAAGUGUAAGAGUCUUGGAGGUAGAGCACUGAUUGGACUAGGGGUCCUCAUCGGAUUACCGAAUUCAGUCAAACUCCGAAUGCCAAUGACUUAUCCUUAGGAGUCAGACUGCGAGUGAUAAGAUCCGUAGUCAAAAGGGAAACAGCCCAGACCGCCAGCUAAGGUCCCAAAGUGUGUAUUAAGUGGAAAAGGAUGUGGAGUUGCUUAGACAACUAGGAUGUUGGCUUAGAAGCAGCCACCAUUUAAAGAGUGCGUAAUAGCUCACUAGUCGAGUGACUCUGCGCCGAAAAUGUACCGGGGCUAAAUACACCACCGAAGCUGCGGAUUGAUACCGAAUGGUAUCAGUGGUAGGGGAGCGUUCUAAGGACAGUGAAGUCAGACCGUAAGGACUGGUGGAGUGCUUAGAAGUGAGAAUGCCGGUAUGAGUAGCGAAAGACGGGUGAGAAUCCCGUCCACCGAAUGCCUAAGGUUUCCUGAGGAAGGCUCGUCCGCUCAGGGUUAGUCAGGACCUAAGCCGAGGCCGACAGGCGUAGGCGAUGGACAACAGGUUGAUAUUCCUGUACCACCUCUUUAUCGUUUGAGCAAUGGAGGGACGCAGAAGGAUAGAAGAAGCGUGCGAUUGGUUGUGCACGUCCAAGCAGUUAGGCUGAUAAGUAGGCAAAUCCGCUUAUCGUGAAGGCUGAGCUGUGAUGGGGAAGCUCCUUAUGGAGCGAAGUCUUUGAUUCCCCGCUGCCAAGAAAAGCUUCUAGCGAGAUAAAAGGUGCCUGUACCGCAAACCGACACAGGUAGGCGAGGAGAGAAUCCUAAGGUGUGCGAGAGAACUCUGGUUAAGGAACUCGGCAAAAUGACCCCGUAACUUCGGGAGAAGGGGUGCUUUCUUAACGGAAAGCCGCAGUGAAUAGGCCCAAGCGACUGUUUAGCAAAAACACAGCUCUCUGCGAAGCCGUAAGGCGAAGUAUAGGGGGUGACACCUGCCCGGUGCUGGAAGGUUAAGGAGAGGGGUUAGCGUAAGCGAAGCUCUGAACUGAAGCCCCAGUAAACGGCGGCCGUAACUAUAACGGUCCUAAGGUAGCGAAAUUCCUUGUCGGGUAAGUUCCGACCCGCACGAAAGGUGUAACGAUUUGGGCACUGUCUCAACCAGAGACUCGGUGAAAUUAUAGUACCUGUGAAGAUGCAGGUUACCCGCGACAGGACGGAAAGACCCCGUGGAGCUUUACUGUAGCCUGAUAUUGAAUUUUGGUACAGUUUGUACAGGAUAGGCGGGAGCCUUUGAAACCGGAGCGCUAGCUUCGGUGGAGGCGCUGGUGGGAUACCGCCCUGACUGUAUUGAAAUUCUAACCUACGGGUCUUAUCGACCCGGGAGACAGUGUCAGGUGGGCAGUUUGACUGGGGCGGUCGCCUCCUAAAGUGUAACGGAGGCGCCCAAAGGUUCCCUCAGAAUGGUUGGAAAUCAUUCGUAGAGUGCAAAGGCAUAAGGGAGCUUGACUGCGAGACCUACAAGUCGAGCAGGGACGAAAGUCGGGCUUAGUGAUCCGGUGGUUCCGCAUGGAAGGGCCAUCGCUCAACGGAUAAAAGCUACCCCGGGGAUAACAGGCUUAUCUCCCCCAAGAGUCCACAUCGACGGGGAGGUUUGGCACCUCGAUGUCGGCUCAUCGCAUCCUGGGGCUGUAGUCGGUCCCAAGGGUUGGGCUGUUCGCCCAUUAAAGCGGUACGCGAGCUGGGUUCAGAACGUCGUGAGACAGUUCGGUCCCUAUCCGUCGUGGGCGUAGGAAAUUUGAGAGGAGCUGUCCUUAGUACGAGAGGACCGGGAUGGACGCACCGCUGGUGUACCAGUUGUUCUGCCAAGGGCAUAGCUGGGUAGCUAUGUGCGGAAGGGAUAAGUGCUGAAAGCAUCUAAGCAUGAAGCCCCCCUCAAGAUGAGAUUUCCCAUAGCGUAAGCUAGUAAGAUCCCUGAAAGAUGAUCAGGUUGAUAGGUUCGAGGUGGAAGCAUGGUGACAUGUGGAGCUGACGAAUACUAAUAGAUCGAGGACUUAACCAU